rnacentral:rRNA from 1 species
GAUGAACGCUGGCGGCGUGCCUAAUACAUGCAAGUCGAGCGGAAGGACGAGGAGUUUGUUUUGUUGAUGUUAGCGGAGCACGGGAGUGAAACAUGUGGAUAAUCCCCCUAUAAUACUGGGAUAACUACGAGAAACCGGAGCUAACACCAGAGAAUAUUCUGAUGCGCAGGGUGGAAAAGUGAAAGACGGUCUUGCGGGCACUAAUAGAGGGAUCCGGGCUGCAUGAGCUAGUUGGUGAGGUAACGGCUUACCAAGGCAACGAUGCGUAGCCGACCUGAGAGGCUGAUCGGCCACACUGGAGCUGAGACACGGUCCAGACUCCUACGGGAGGCCGCAGUCGGGAAUCGUCCGCAGUGGGCGAGAGUCUGACGGAGCAACGCCACGUCAGUGAUGACGGCCUUCGGAUCGUAAAACUCUGUUAUUGGGUAAGAACAUCUGUCGACGUAACUGUGGAGAUCUUGACGGUACUUGAUCAGAAAGCCACGGCUAACUACGUG